AUGAGCCGAUUACGAAGAUACGAAAUCAUCGAAGAAGAACCAUUAUCCUUUCCCUUACCAUUACCCUUCUGUCACUCAUAUUCCUCACAUUUCUUCCUAACUGAAACCCUACCAUUCCCUUCCUUUAUAGAAAAAUCUCUCGAUCUAGGUCUUCUCCCGAGUCAUUUCCCCGCGGAUCUGGUGCACGUGGAUUCUUUUAUGCAGAAACAAGUUGAGAAGCAGCAGCAACUCGGUUUGCGGAGUUUGACUGACCGAGUCGCUGAGUUGGAGUCGUAA